UAAGACGUAGGGGGCGAGCGUUGUCCGGAUUUAUUGGGCGUAAAGCGCGCGCAGGCGGCCCGGUAAGUCGGGUGUGAAAUCCCACAGCUCAACUGUGGAAUUGCACUCGAUACUGUCGGGCUAGAGGCAGGUAGGGGAGAUCGGAAUUCCCGGUGUAGCGGUGAAAUGCGCAGAUAUCGGGAGGAACACCGGUGGCGAAGGCGGAUCUCUGGGCCUGUCCUGACGCUCAGGCGCGAAAGCUAGGGGAGCGAACAGGAUUAGAUACCCUGGUAGUCCUAGCCGUAAACGAUGGGUGCUAGGUGUGGGAGGUAUCGACCCCUUCCGUGCCGAAGCUAACGCAUUAAGCACCCCGCCUGGGGAGUACGGCCGCAAGGCUA
rnacentral:rRNA from 1 species